rnacentral:rRNA from 1 species
UACGUAGGGUCCGAGCGUUGUCCGGAAUUAUUGGGCGUAAAGGGCUCGUAGGCGGUCUGUUGCGUCGGGAGUGAAAACUUACAGCUUAACUGUGAGCGUGCUUUCGAUACGGGCAGACUUGAGGCAUUCAGGGGAGAACGGAAUUCCUGGUGUAGCGGUGAAAUGCGCAGAUAUCAGGAGGAACACCGGUGGCGAAGGCGGCUUGCUGGGCCAGUUCUGACGCUGAGGAGCGAAAGCGUGGGGAGCGAACAGG